rnacentral:rRNA from 1 species
UGUGUAGGCGGUUCGGUAAGUUCGGUGUGAAAUCUCCCGGCUCAACUGGGAGGGUGCGCCGAAAACUGCCGUGCUUGAGCAUGGGAGAGGGAAGCGGAAUUCCUGGUGUAGCGGUGAAAUUCGUAGAUAUUGGGAAGAACACCAGUGGCGAAGGCGGCUUACUGGUCCGAUACUGACGCUGAGGUACGAAAGCGUGGGGAGCAAACA